GGUCAGAUAGUUUAAAUAAAAUUCCUAUCUUACACGUAGGAGAUGAACUGGUUUCUAUUACCA
rnacentral:tRNA from 1 species